AGCCCAAAGGUGUUUGCACCCUUGCCCCUUCCUCUCCGACAGCCGAGGUCGCCAGGGUGGGCUAACCCUCGGGACCGUCGCUGCUUGUGUGCUGGGUGCCGGGCCGUCAUCCCGAGAUGGUUAGCGGCAGGCUUUGCAGGAGUAUUGUGAGGAUUCAGAUGACAGGAGUGUGUAUGGUCCGGAGAGUUCCUGAAUGUUGCCUUCGACUGUGAGGAGAUGUCUUGCUCUGUCGCCAGGCUGGAGUGCAGUGGCAUGAUCUCGGCUCACUGCAGCCACCGCCUCCUGGCUUCAAGAGAUUCUCCUGCCUCCGCCUCCUGAGUAGCUGGGACUACAGGUGCAUGCCACCACGCCCACCGGAUCACAAGGCAGGAUCCUCCCAAAGUGCUGGCAUUAUAGGCGUGAGUGACUGCACCCGGCCUGUCUUAAGCCUUUUCAAGUGUGCAGUUCAGUAAUGUUAAGUACAUGUAUCAUUCCAGAGGGAAGGUGGGUAGAAGGUGAUUGAUCCAUCACUCACACCAUUUUUGAGUAGGGAUAUCUUAAAUGUAUACAGUUUAUCAUGAAAUCAUAUUAGACCUAUAACUUUUCUGAUUGUGAAAACAAUACAUACUCAUCACAGAAAAUGCAGAAAAGAGUAAAAGAACAAAUGAAAAUUACCUAAAAUCUUUCCAUUCAGAAAAUGCCCCUCUUAAAAAUUUUGUGUAUCUCUUCAGUCUUUUCUCAUAUAAUUCUUAAAUAAAAUUUGGAUCAGAUUCUAUUUUUAAAUAACACCUUUAUUCAGAUGUAAUUCACAUGCCAUACAAUUCACCUGAAGUGUACAAUUCAGUGUUUUGUAGUAUAUUCACAGUUGGGUAACCCAUCACCACAAAUAAGUCAACUUUAGAAAAUUUAUUUGUCCCACCCCCCUCCAAGAAAAAUCCUGUAUGUUAUCAGCUGCUGCUCCUCCUUCACCCCACUGCUCUUCUGUCCCAUUCCACCAAGUCAACAACUAAUCUUUUUUUCUGUCUCUAUAGAUUUGCCUGUUCUGGACAUUUCGUGUAAAUAAAAUCAUAUAAUAUAUGGUCUUUUGUGUCUGACUUCUUCUGCUCAGCAUAAUGUUUUCAAGGUUCAUCCAUGUUGUAACCUGUAUCAAUACUUCAUUCCUUUCCAUGGCAGAAUAAUAUUCUGUGGUGUGGAUGAAUCACAUUUUAUUUAUCCAUUCAUCAGUUGAUGGACAUUUCGAUUAUUUCCCACUUAUGGCUAUUAUGAAUAAUAUUGCUAUGAACGUUAGUGUGGAAGUUUUUGUGUGGGCAUACGUUUUCAUUUCUCUUGGUUCUGCUGGGUCAUAUGAUAACUGUAGUUUCAUAUAUAGUUUCAAAUCUUGAUUUUUUUCACAUAAUGACUGUUUUUCUAUGUCAUGAAAUAUUAUCUAAAUACAUGAUUUUUAAAUGGUUACAUUAUUGUAUCAUCCUGGGAGUAUGCCGUAUUUUUAACCAUUCUCCUGUUUGAGGGUCUUCCAGUCUCUCCUAAGUUAGAAGAAAAUUCUUACAUAUGCAGUCUCCACUUCUCUCAUUUACUUAAAUUUAUGGAAGUAGGAUUACUAAAAGGUCAUUGUGUUUUAUGUCACUUGUCAGAUGGUAAUUGGGAAGAUUGUAUGAAUUCUCUCUGUAAUCACUUUAGUGUUCUUAGCCUGUGUAUGUUCAGUGGUGAUUAUUUAGUAUCAAGUGCUAUAAAACAGAGCCCAUAGAUUUUUGAAAAGACACAGUCCCUGCUGUCAAGAUGCAUAUGUUUACAUUUAGACCAGACAGAUAAAUAUAGAUCCAAGGACAUCAUAUAGACAGGAUUAUGUACAUUAUGUGGAGGGAAAAAAUAGACCACUUAGAUAAAGUAAAUGUUUGCCUGCCUAGGAUGAGAUUCACACAGACAUAAUCAUUGAGCAACUUUUCACACUUAAAAAGUUUUUUUUAAAUUAACGAAACCAAAAUGUAGGAACCAGUAAGUCUAAAGUCAUAAAUCACCUGGAUCCUUGAGAAUGAACCUUUCCCUUGUUCAGAAGACUCCUAAGGCAGCACAGUGUAGCCUGUUGGCUUUUGGGACCUGCAGAUCUAGCUCUGGCUGCUUUUCAACCUGUGCUAUCUCACAGUUUCCUUAGAUUGCUUGAGACAUUAGCAAACCUUUUCUGUCCUGUUUCUUACUCUUUUAUAUUCAGAAGAAUGCCACUUUAAAGAUUAUGAAAUGAGCAAGUAGUUCAGUUAUGUAGCUGACUCUGGGGGAAAAACAGUCUAGCACUGUUCAGCCUUGCCAUAUUGAUGCUGACACUGGCAUGAUUUCAUCUCCAGCAUGACCACCAGAUUCCACCCAAAUGGAAUGACUAAAAGAUUAAAGAUAAUUGAUUUGUAAAAUUGGAGCUGGACAAGCUAUGGCAGAUCCUCCAGCAAGCCUCUAAGCAGAUGUUAUAUAGAGGCUUUGCAAUACUGGUUUUUUUGUUUGUUUGUUUGUUUUUUAACUAGUAGGAAUUAAACUCUUGAAAGUAAACCAUACCACAUUAAAGAUUCCAUUUUCUAGCAUGUCACAUACAUUUGUAUUACAUGACUCCUUCAUAAAACAUUGCCUAGGUAACUGACAAAAAGUGCUUUUUAAUAUCCAGAAGCUGUAGCCAGCAAAGACAAACUUAAGAAAG